rnacentral:rRNA from 1 species
UCGAGAAUUUUUCUCAAUGGGGGAAACCCUGAAGGAGCGACGCCGCGUGGGGGAUGAAUGGCUUCGGCCCGUAAACCCCUGUCAUUUGUGAACAAGUUGAUUCACCUAACACGUGUAUCAUUGAUUGUAGCGAAAGAGGAAGGGACGGCUAACUCUGUGCCAGCAGCCGCGGUAAUACAGAGGUCCCAAGCGUUGUUCGGAUUCACUGGGCGUAAAGGGUGCGUAGGCGGUUGGGUAAGUUUGACGUGAAAUCUCCGGGCCUAACCCGGAAACUGCGUUGAAUACUAUCUGACUAGAGGAAUGGAGGGGAGACUGGAAUACUUGGUGUAGCAGUGAAAUGCGUAGAUAUCAAGUGGAACACCAGUGGCGAAGGCGAGUCUCUGGACAUUUCCUGACGCUGAGGCACGAAAGCCAGGGGAGCAAACGGGAUUAGAUACCCCCGUAGUCC